UUCAUUGGAUUCAAAAGUGCAAUUCCAAAGUGUGGGUUUGGAGUAUUAAUUACCCAACUGGAGAUAUAACUCUCUGUCACCCAUCUAUUUAUAGAAAAAACAAAAGAAAAGAACGGUCACCUGUAGUCAAUGCAAGACGCUUUACCAACCUGCCCCUCCCUCAGCCUAUCACAUAAAUGAAUGUCGGUGUUCACGUUGUAUAUCACAGAAUUUGGUGCUACUCUGCAAAUUUACAGUUGGUUGACUUAAAUGUUCCAUACCUACUAUUUGUAAUCCCCGGAGUAUGUUGAAUCGCUCAUCAUCAUCAUCAUCACCAUCACCUUAUUUUGGGUAAACUGUUUUUUUCAUCCUAAAUUACACUGUUUUCUCAUUUGGGUGCAAUUCAUUUUCCUCCUAAUCAGUUGGGUUUGACCUAACUCAUGGGGAUGUGAAAAAAAUCGGACGUGGGCAAUUUUUAUUUCCGAUGUGUCUGAAAAGUUAAACCCGUAUUACCCACCUCUUAUUUUGGACCAUGAACUAAUAAUAGUAGUUACUUUUGUAAUGGUAAUAAUUUCCUCUGAUAUCAGUAAUCACCAUUUCAUUUCAUACUAUUCCAAGUGGGUUUUGCGAAAACUAUGCAGAACAUUUGGUUCUGGGUUUUGUCAAAUGGUAGAAAAUGUAGUUUUGGCUGUUUCUAUUCAGUUGAAGACAGUGGAAGACUUUAUAGGAGAGAUAUGAUUAUAAAUUGAGUGUAAUGUUGGAAUUCUUGAAACGGUAUUGGAGUGACAGGACACGGAAUUAUAAUGUUGCAAAUUUUGUACAACUGCAGACAUGAGAAUUAAUAUGCAAGCAAAACCACACAGUCCAAGAGCAGAACAUUAUCCCUCAAGAAGAGUAGAGUAUGAUGAGAAUGCAGCACCUGUUGGUAUCCCAGGAAUUGACCAUGAAACUAAGGAAGAGAUGGAUUCUGUUGGGAAACCUACUGCAAUAGAUAAAAUAGCUUUAGCGACUGAUGUCAUAAAUGACAAAGUUGAUUUUGAUGCUACUUCAGAGUUGGCACCCAACAUAACAAAUAUGUCGAUUUGUGAAGUGGAUUCACCUACUUGCAACAAAGCUAGUACUAAUGACCAAUCGGCACUCUCUUUUAACCCUGAAAAUGGUCAGAAGGUUCCAUCUCUCAUUUAUCCAACCCAGGAAUGUUCUCCAAGAAUUAGCCAUCAGUUAUCUAUAGAAGAAAUGAGAACUCCAAAUGGUAGCACUCCUACAGCAUCUAGAUCAGGCAUUUUUGCGUGUCUUGCAGAGGAUGGUGAGUUUGGAUUACGGGAUAUUAGUAUUGAUGAGGGAGUCCCUUCAGAGGAUAAAGUUCUGAUAUCUUUGGAUCGUAACAUUUAUUUUGAGAAACCAUCACGUGCCAUGUCUUCUGCAACAAUUGAAAGUUCUUGUUGCGGUAUUGGUCUUAGAAAUAAACAGUGUAAGCCAGAAGAUCAAAGUUCAUCAGGUGAUGAUUGGGAUAGGCUUAACCAGGGUGAACUGCAAUGCUCUCAACUAAAUAAAAGAAAUGAAGAUGAAAAUGGCAUGUUAGAUGAAGCAGGUAUAUUAAACUCCCUAAAAGUAGAUGAGAUUUUUCCAACUUCCUUUAAAGAAAUUCAUGAGGGCAAUCAAAAUGAAGGUACCCAUUCCUUUGAUGAAUGCAGGAGUGGAAAUACUACUUUAGAGAAGAAAGAAAACAUCUUAGGAUGUCUAGCAAAAUAUGGUGAUAGGUAUGAUGAGCAAUGGUACAAUUUGGUUGAUUAUUCAGAUGGAAUUCAUGAUAAGGGUAUCACUUCCAAUGCCAAUUGCAUAGAUGAUAGCUUUAAAGCAGAAGGAAAAGAGAACAAGGAUAUGAGUUAUUCAUCUCAAGGAAAUGCAGAGCAAUAUUUAUCGAAUAAUUUCCGAACAAGGACAAACCCAUUUGCAGACUCAGAAGAGAAUUCACAGUUUAUGUCAGAAUCAGCUUCUGCAUCAGUGGGAAGGCAUUCAGCUUUAAGUGGAAUUUUUGAAGCAGAAGGAAAAAUAACGGACAGGGGCUAUUUAUCUCAUGAAGAUGCAGAGCUUUUUCUAUCAAAUAAUUUUCAUAUGAGGACAAACCCUUUUGCACUCUCAGAAGAGGAGGCCCAGUUUAUGCCAGAGUCAUUUGCAUCAGUGGAAAAUCAUUCAGUAUCAACUGCUCAGUUUAUACCCGGGCUUUAUUCUACAUCUCUGGAAAGUCAUACAGCACCAAGUGCAGAUAAAAGCUCUGAAUCAGAAGGAAAAAAUAGUAAGGAUACAGAUCAUUCAUCUCAAGUAAAUUCAGAAGUUUGUUUAUCAGAAAAGUUUCAACUGAGGACAAACCCUUUUGCAAUUUCAGAAGAGGAGGCUCAGUUUAUGCCAGCAUCAUUUGAAUCAUUGGAAAGUCAUUCAGUAUCAAGUGCAAGUCUGUUGACAGGUCAUGUGGUCUCUGAGCAUUUAUCAGAUGUUAGUUCUUCAAAAAGUGAAGGAUCGGUUCUGAAGGCCUCUGACAAUUUUCAAAUUGACCCUGCCAUUGUUCAGAAAGUUAUCUCCGAGAAGUUAGGGAGUGAGGUAGAUCCUCAAAAGUCAGUUGAAGAACCACAUUUAGAAAAAUGUGGUAAUUCAACUGAUCCAUAUACUGCAGAGAAUUUUGUCCAGAUUCAUACGUCCACAGCUGCCAUGGUGGAUAAUGAAGCAACGAGGAAUAUGGAGAACCUGGGACAAAAAAUUGUCGGAUGUUCUGCAUUUACAGGAAGCCCGGCUGGGCAAGUUUGCUCCUUAGAAAUGGGAUAUAAUGUUCCGAGACAAAGUAUAAGUGAAGUGAGAUAUGAUGUAUCUGACAAAGUUAAUGUAAAUGAUAAUGCAUCUGAAAUGUCUGCUUACACUCACUCGGGACCAAUUUCUAUAUCUGGGCCAAUAUCACAUUCUGGACAAAUUCCUCUAUCUGGACGUGUAUCAUAUUCUUCUGGUCCGAUUCCAUACUCGGGGAGCCUCUCCACCCGUUCUGACAGUAGCACAGCUAGCACCCACUCAUUUGCUUUCCCCAUAUUGCCAAAUGAAUGGAAUAGCAGCCCAGUAAAGAUGAAGCAAGCAGACUCCAGAUACUUCAAGAAGAAGAGACGAUGCCGAUUCUGUUGUUUCUGCUUCUGAGCUCAAGUCUCUUGUGAUUCAAGUUUGUGGAGGUUUGACUGAUUGGAGUAUGGCAUGCAUCUGCUGUGAACACCUUAAGGGAAUAUUAUCUCUAAUUUGGGUUGGCAGUAUGGUCUAUUUCACUACUGGUGGUUGGGGCACUGGAGAUGGACCGAUUUGAUGUUUGUAUCAUAUAAUUUUGAAGCUGAGUAGGCAGAAUUUCAGAACAAUGUACUCUAUUGUAUUGCUCUUUUGAGAACACCCAUAUUUUUUGGUAUUUUUGAGAGUAUUCAGUCUGAAUUUAAGGAGCCCUGGGUUAUGGGUUCUCCUGUGCCCUUAUAUGAUGGAAACGGCACAUCUGUAUAUAUAUAUAUUUUUUUGGGUAGAUAA